UUUCAGUGAAGUUGUAUGUGCUUAUAAAAAAUAUCGUGCAAACGCCAUGUGGAAUAAGUAAACAUGCGUGGCUUGUAAAAAUGAUUGCACAAAUCUUUAAAACAGAUGGAUGAGGGAAAAAUGUAUGGGUGCAUGAUCCGCUAUAUAUUUUGUAUGUGUAUUCUGUUAUGUUAUAAACGGUGGUUAGUAUUAGGAUACAAUCAAGUUGUUACAUCAACCGAUAAAGAAGCUUCCGAUGAACAGAAAGAAUUGCAACAAGCUCUUUUUCUUGUCGAACUUCUCAAGUCAGAAUACGCUCGAGUUCUACGAGAGAAUAAAGACAUGCACAGCAACAGAGUAUUAUGGGAAGAGGGUGCCAUGACGUGUACCACACCUAAAAGAGGAAAAUUUGAGAGAGCGCCUGCAACACCACAAGUUCAGCAUUGGCCGCGUAGAAUUCCGCCAAUUUUCCCUACUCUACGGAAAUGGAGACGGCGUUUCCCGCAAAUAGAUGCAAACAUAUAUUAUGAUAUUCCAGCUCGAAAUAUUGAAUACAAUGAAGGAUACGGUAUGUAUACCAAC